rnacentral:piRNA from 1 species
UGCCUGGCAACAGUGGGUGGUGGUAUGU